AUUGAACGCUGGCGGCAUGCCUUACACAUGCAAGUCGAACGGCAGCACGGGGGCAACCCUGGUGGCGAGUGGCGAACGGGUGAGUAACAUAUCGGAACAUACCCUAGAGUGGGGAUAACGUAGCGAAAGUUACGCUAAUACCGCAUACGCACUAAGGUGGAAAGUGGGGGAUCUUCGGACCUCAUGCUCAUGGAGUGGCCGAUAUCUGAUUAGCUAGUUGGUGAGGUAAAGGCUCACCAAGGCGACGAUCAGUAGCUGGUUUGAGAGAACGACCAGCCACACUGGAACUGAGACACGGUCCAGACUCCUACGGAGGCAGCAGUGGGGAAUUUUGGACAAUGGGGGCAACCCUGAUCCAGCAAUGCCGCGUGAGUGAAGAAGGCC
rnacentral:rRNA from 1 species